UUCAGCUGUGGCGUCACUGUCUCCACUACUAACAAUUUUGCCUCAAGUAAUAAUUUAUGUUAGUGUUCUUGUUUAUCAAGGAGACGUCAGUGCCAGCAAAGAGCUUGAGAUGAAAUAUGAGACAUGUGAUGUGGGAGGAAAACAAAAGACAAAUACAAAAAGUAAAUAUCCCUGAACAGAAUAGCAUUAGUUUGCAUCACUUCCAGUCAAGCUAUAAUUUUUCAGAUGAUGCCAUUUAAGUGUAAAAAUAGUAUUAUCUGUGUGGAUUUAGAAUGCAUAAAAAUGCUGGACGAAAUAGGAAUAAAAUGGCCAGUUCCACCACAGAAUGCAUCAAAUUAAACAAACCAGUUGCAACAUUUCAAGUGUUUUUUUUUUCUUUUUUCUGAAAGUUAGUGAAACAUUCCAGCUAUUUUAAAUUUUUUUUGCAUUGUUUAAGCUUGCACAAAAAAUGAUGCUUUCCAGAUUAUGCGCUCGUCCACAGAUGUUGAUCUAAAAAAUGAUCAAAUAAAUACCUGCUACUUUUAUUUCCUUUUCAGUCCGUUGAUGUUUAUUUUAGACAUUCUCCAGUCUGCAGUAUCAUUGUGUUUGUCUUUUCUUCUCGGUUUGGCACAAAAGCUGUUCAGCGUGCUAUGCUAGGCUAGACUGUACGCUAUGCUAACUGACAGAGCCUGUUUUGUGUACUUGGCCUACAGGGUGAGGUCACACAAAUCUGGGGCAAGACAAGGAGGUCAGAGGCAGUUGAACCAAAAGCGUGUGAAGGGCUUGACUAGACUGAUUAGGUGGUCACCCCACCCCAAAAGCUUCCCUUCCCAUGAUGCCUCGGGCUACGACGCCACACCCUGCGACAGCACUCCCCCCUCCUGAGUGGGACGAUCUCUGUGCAGGUGGGACGGGUAAUUAAACUUUUACAUCGACUCUCUUCUCUGGUGUAAAUCAGCUUACUGUCACAGAUCCAUUCUGCUGGAAAUGACAGUAAAGUGAGGGCUGGAGCAGUUCAAGCUAAAUAAUAAUAAAAAAGCUCUUGUUAUUGACCCA
ensembl:lncRNA